rnacentral:rRNA from 1 species
CCUACGGGUGGCAGCAGUGAGGAAUAUUGGUCAAUGGGCGAGAGCCUGAACCAGCCAAGUCGCGUGAGGGAGUACUGCCCUAUGGGUUGUAAACCUCUUUUGUCGGGGAGCAAAAGCCGGACGUGUCCGGCUGUGAGAGUACCCGAAGAAAAAGCAUCGGCUCACUCCGUGCCAGCAGCCGCGGUAAUACGGAGGAGGCGAGCGUUAUCCGGAUUUAUUGGGUUUAAAGGGUGCGCAGGGGGAUUUUUAAGUCAGCGGUAAAAUCGUGGGGCUCAACCCCAUCCAGCCGUUGAAACUGGGGAUCUAGAGUGUGCGAGAGGUAGGCGGAAUGCGUGGUGUAGCGGUGAAAUGCAUAGAUAUCACGCAGAACCCCGAUUGCGAAGGCAGCAUACCGGUGCACAACUGACGCUCAGGCACGAAAGCGUGGGUAUCGAACAGGAUUAGAUACCCCGGUAGUC